rnacentral:lncRNA from 1 species
CUGUCUGAUUUUGCUAUGCAGAUGAUGGAAUUCCCAAACCGGAAAUAAUAUCCUGGAUUGAACAAGUGAGAGAUCCCUUAAGAAAUUGGGAAGAAUCACAGAAAUCAGAAAACAUCAUUUGUUCCUCUGCUGAUAUGCAUUUUGAUCCAGGUGAAGCUUCCUUCUGGUUAAGAAAUAGAAAAGAACAACUCCAAGUCCUGCUUCAACACGUUAUGGGAUUAAAGCAUUUCUGAAGGAUAGUUGCAUAGGUAAGUGUCUGGAAUGCUCCUCUCCAGAUCUAAUGGGUAAGAAUAAUAUAAUAAUUCAGCCUCCUCUAU